ACAGAAAUAAAACCAGGUUAAAGGACAGUUCAGGUAAAAGGCACAAUGAGCUCAUUCUUCUGGAACAACUGCCAAAAGCCAGGGUGAUCCCUGAGGAGCUGGGCUCCGCCCAAGGGCAAACGCUGCCCUUUUCGCGGCGGUGUCUGGUCAGGCCUACGCAGAAGGCAAUACCUGGCAAAGUCCAAGAAGUAAAAAGUCGAUGGCAGACAGAAAGAUGGGGCCCACUGCUGAGGCCUCCCAUCUCCCAGGACAGCAGCGCUGUGACCUACAGCCCUCUCAGGCGUGCGGAGGCACUUGACUGAUACAGGACUACGCACAGAAACUCUUCAGGAGCAACAAGGCCCGCGGUGCUAAUCGUCUCUCACCAAAGUCAGAGACACCCAAGAGGACUAAGAAGAACCAGAAAGGAAUGUUCCUGAGUUACACGCAAAGCUAACUCAAGACAUAAAGGAGCAUUUCUUCACUGUCAGGGGCUAGGACUGAAACUCUGGCUAAAGGUCCGUGCUGGAAAGAGCUGGAAAAGAGAACAGACCUUCUGUCCUCGGAGGGUUAGCUAUUUGCUGGGUGGUCUCUCAAUCCUGUCCAGCUCCAGAACUCUAUACAAAUACGAAUUACAAUACGGGCUAGGGUGCUGGGGCUGACUUGGGAUUCAGUCCUCCCGAGGGGGCCCUGAGAAGGCCCAGAAGGGAGCCGGCCAGUCCCGAGCCCCCCUUUGUCGUCUGUCCUGAACUCGCUUCGUGUACACCAUUUAGCUUCCGCAGCAGCGGCAGGGGCAGAGGCCCCCCGAAGUCCUGUGUGUGGGCGGGAGAAGGCCGAGCCUGAAAAGCUGCCUUUGUGCCCUCAGCCGGCUCAGGGAGCCAGGGGAGCCAUUAGCCCGUUGCUAGGUGACGGCCCGAAUGAAUCCGCACUCAACGCUGUCACAUGCGUCAUCCCUUUACACGAAUGAAUGCGGGAAGAGCUGCUGGAGAGGGCUGUGGGCUGAAGGACCUGUUGACAGAGAAAAUGGUUCUGUCACAGGGAGCUAAAUGUGCAGCCUCACGUGGCAGAUCCGCAUCUUCUGAUCAGAAAACCGGCUCGAUCCAGA